rnacentral:rRNA from 1 species
UACGUAGGGGGGCAAGCGUUGUCCGGAUUUAUUGGGCGUAAAGGGCGCGUAGGCGGCCACGCACGUCCGUUGUGAAAUCGCCCGGCUCAACUGGGCGGGGUCGGCGGAUACGGCGUGGCUGGAGCAAGCUAGGGGGCAAUGGAAUUCCCGGUGUAGUGGUGGAAUGCGUAGAUAUCGGGAGGAACACCAGUGGCCGAAGGCGGUUGCCUGGAGCUUUGCUGACCGCUGAGGCGCGGAAAGCGAUGGGGAGCCGAGGGCCGCGAUUCGAU